CUGAAGUGCAGACAGCAACAAUACAGCAUGUACCAUUUCUCCUUGCACCGCAAAAGCACUGUUGAAAACUGCAACUACUGGCUGAUGUCAUUUUUUUUGCUUUCAAACAGAAAAUAAGAAAGUUAUAAAACUACUCAGCACUGUAAGAGAGAAUACGGCUGCACUAGAGGAAUUUUGGAUGUUUACCAAUGUUGCUUUUCAGUGUCUUGUGCGUUUUCCUUGAACCUUGAAGAUGGGAUAGAUGAACCUGCAAGGCAAUUCUUUACAAAGGAAAAGAGGAAUCACCUGUUGUUCAGCAAGGAGACAGGCACCAAGGAGCUCAGCUCCAUCUGAUGUGACAGGUGUACCCUAUCCAGUCAUCAGUUGAAACCCACCAGUGGCAGGGCCUGCAGCUGGGCCCAUUUUCAGCAAGCACUUAAUACUUUGUCUGCAGGAGAAAAACCACAUAUAAUGAUUGUUCAGUGCUACCCAGUGACCCUCAUAGUGCAGUAUGAGCUGAAAAACAUGCGUUUCAGCAGAUGUGGUAUGGGAGAGAUGUCAAAUGCUACGUAGUGAAGCGAUCACAGCAUCUCAUACAUCUUCUUAACAAGAAGGGAAUUCAGUUGCCCAAAUGAAAAUUGCUUUUGACCAGACAAGGAAACUAAGUGAGAUUGUGCUUUAUAUCAGUUAAAAUACAAAUUGCCCCAUGAUCAUUGUGAAUUUUUAGAAGAUAACUUCUGUUUCAUGUGGCAUCAGUGUUCUUGGCAUCUCUCACCAUGGUAUGCAGUCCUGGAAUCAGGCCAGAUUAAACAGCCAAGUAUCUUUGCCUUUUGA
rnacentral:lncRNA from 1 species